UCUUGGUCAGGACGAACGCUGGCGGCGUGCCUAAUACAUGCAAGUCGAACGGUCUUUCUAUGGAAGCUUGCUCCACUGAGAAGAUAGUGGCGAACGGGUGAGUAACACGUGGGUAACCUGCCCAUAAGAGGGGGAUAACAUCCGGAAACGGGUGCUAAUACCGCAUAGUUUUCUUGAUCGCAUGAUUGAGAAAGGAAAGACGGCCUUUGUGCUGUCGCUUAUGGAUGGACCCGCGGCGUAUUAGUUAGUUGGUGAGGUAACGGCUCACCAAGACGAUGAUACGUAGCCGACCUGAGAGGGUGAUCGGCCACAUUGGGACUGAGACACGGCCCAAACUCCUACGGGAGGCAGCAGUAGGGAAUCUUCCGCAAUGGACGAAAGUCUGACGGAGCAACGCCGCAUGAGUGAAAGAAGGUUUUCGGAUCGUAAAACUCUGUUGUCAGAGAAGAACAAGUUGGAGAGUAACUGCUCCAGCCUUGACGGUAUCUGACCAGAAAGCCACGGCUAACUACGUGCCAGCCGCCGC
rnacentral:rRNA from 1 species